GCGGGUAUAGUUCAGUGGUAGAACACCUCCUUGCCAAGGAGGAUGUCGCGCGUUCGAGCCGCGUUACCCGCU
rnacentral:tRNA from 1 species